rnacentral:rRNA from 1 species
UACAGAGGGUGCGAGCGUUAAUCGGAAUUACUGGGCGUAAAGCGUGCGUAGACGGUUAUCUAAGUCGGAUGUGAAAGCCCCCGGGCUCAACCUGGGAAUUGCAUUCGAGACUGAAUAGCUAGGGUGCGGUAGAGGGAAGCGGAAUUUCCGGUGUAGCGGUGAAAUGCGUAGAUAUCGGAAAGGAACAUCAGUGGCGAAAGCGGCUUCCAUGGACCAGGCACCGAACGGUUCAGGCCACCGAAGCCGUACGGGGGAGUCAAAGCAAGGGAAAUUAGAAACCCGUUGGUAAGGUCCAAGAACCC